UAUGGAGGUGCUCCUGGUGACUGUCUUUGAGCUCUUGGCACAGCCACACAGGAACUCCAGUGGGACUAUAAGGACAACAACCCAUAAGAAGACACAAAACUUUUGACCCCAAGUUUAUCCAUCCUACAAGAAAUGCAGAGAGAAAUGUGGAGCAGAGACUAUGGGAAUGGACAACCUAUAAAGGUCCAAGUUUAGACCCAUCCACAG
rnacentral:sRNA from 1 species